AUUGUCACUGUGAUAAGUUUCAUUCAAACCCAUCGAUCUGUUACAUAAACUGAACUUCCUGGAUGGUAUUAAGUCUCCCUCCCUCCCUGUCACUUGUUUUAUGAAAUAGGACAUAUAAUAGGACUCAACAAUAGACACAAAUGAUUGAAUAAGAUGGAGACUUUUUGCAGUGGAGAUGGAAAUAUGGCAUUAAUGCUGCUGUAAGUUACAAUCAGACCCAGUUUUUAUGUAAAAUCAUACAUUACAUAAUAAUGAGGGGUGGAGAGGUCUGUGUGUGUGUGUGGGUGUGUGCUGUUUGGAGGAGGGACUCCAUCAUUUAGAGAAGUGAGGAGUUCCUAGUUUGUCAGUGAAGACGGAAGAGAGGCAGCGAUAAACCAUCAGAGCCUCCAACAUGAAAGUCUGUCACACUUUGAUCUGCUUCUUCUUCCUCUAAAGGACCGAAGGAAGGUUGUGAAAGGGGGAGGGGAGCAAAUAGAUGCUUUCCCUUUUUUUUCUAUGUAUUUAUUAAUAUUUACUUUGAUAGAUGUUUGAGAUACCACUCGUCUUUACUUCUUCAGAAAAGGUGUAGCCCCACCCCUAUAUCUUUUAUAUAUCUUCAUAAAAACUUUAUCAAAGGAAAUUAAUUAUCUAAUAGUUUUUUGCAGAUAAAAGAAAUAAAUAAAAAUCAUACAAAUUCAUAAAUUUUGCAUCCGCAAGCAGUUUUUUCCCAGAAAUACGAUAAGAUAUACCUUUAUUAAUCCCCCAAAGAAGACAUUCAAGUUCCACACAGCAGCAUUGGGGAAUAUAGUGCAAAAAGAGUACAAUCUUAUCACGGACAAGAACAUUACAAAAUAUAAUAGAAAUAUAAAACUAUAACUGAAAAAUAUAUACACUAUAAGCACUAAGCAAUGUGCAAGUGCAAUGGUGUUCAAUUUAAAAUAUUUUAAGCAGCUUCAAUAAAAAACUAAACUGUAACUAAACUUUGGUUGAAUUUAAAACCAGUCUUAGUCUGCGGGGGUUGGAGUUACUGGGUGAUGUGGUACAAUGGUACUGAUGACUGAUGGUACAAACGAGCCUCCAAACUGCUUUGAGGCUCGGGGCUGGAUCAGUCUGUGGCUGAAAGUGCUCCUGAGCUGC
rnacentral:lncRNA from 15 species